AAAAGCAGAACGGUCGCUGUCGGAUGUCGCAUUCAAGAUCAGGUGCAGGUGUACGUAAUGUUUUGGUCUCUUACCUGGAUGGAUCCUCCUCUACGUCCUCACCUGUUUGUGGAUCUCAGAUCUGGACACUUGCUGCAGGUUCUCCAGGUGCGAGUGGAACAGGUUGCUGCGGAUGAGAGAGACGCCCAGCACAGACUCGAUGAUGUAGCCCACGGUGCAGUCGUCAGGCAGGCGGAUCUUCUCCGCCGUGUUCAUGAAAUGGCCGCCGCUGGAGUGACACCACACGAAGGCUCAUUUGACCGAGAGCUGCGUCCGGGCUGUAGAAAUGGCCUCUAUUGUUCUUCGCUGACCACGGGAGGAACCGGGAGCAGUCGGCCAUUCCUGCACACUUGUUAUCAUUCAAAUGGUGGCUUUCACCAGCGAGCGCCGUCCGGUGCCGGGAUGCUAACCAAAGGCCCGUUUGGAGCGACGGGCAGCCGCUCGGCGCCUCGGCAACGUCACAGCGACGCUACGUGAUGAAGUCCAACCUGGUCCGUUCAGGGAAUCCCCCGUACUUGCGUCACCAAGAUGAAUUCCCGCCGCUGGCUUUGGAUCAGCUCCCUACGAAGCUCCGGCAGAGAAGCAGUUUAGCCCAUGUGUGCCGCGGUAAACAUCCUCCCACCCAUCCACGCCCACUGACCCACCACUCCAGCGGAUGAAACUGGCCUGCCUGCUCCGAAUCCCAAAUGACAAACGACUCUCAAAUGAUCUUUAUACGGUACAGGUGAACCUAAUGUUGUGUCCAAUGUGUGCAAAAGUCACGUUGGAGAGAAAUGACCAAAGAAGCUGCUGAGACUACUGUUGCCUACAAGAAAAAAAAUUUAAAUGGAGGUACGCUCAUGGGCCAAUACAAACAUGGAAGCCUCAUCAGUGCGUGAGCAGAAAACAAAACAGUAUUGACGGAAAAGCUCCCGACUUCCCGGGUCACUGUCUCUGACCCGGCCUGGACAUCACCAGGAAGCCUCCUUGACAGUCUGUGAGGAUGAGAGUCAGGUUGGCGGGUGGCGGGUGGUCUUGAUCAUGAGAAUGCGGGUGAUUAUUCCCAUCCAGUCCCAGGGAGUUCAACUUAGCUGCUCCCUUUCAUAGACACGUAUUGAAUAGAUCAGAUGCAAGGGCGCUUUCGCUAUUGCCUGCCAAAGGUCGCCUCGCCUGCAGUGGAAAUAGGAUCACUAAACUACACUCCCAGGCCACAUUAUUAGGUACACCUACACAAUCCAAUGAGAUGACAUAAAAAAAAAAAAAAACACCAGCACAUUUACGUUAUUAGUAACUUUAUACAUUUUAAUAUGAACAGUCAUAUUGUUUUUAUGACAUAGUGAUGCCUUGAGAUACUAGUUUAAUUUGAUCCGUGACCAGGUUCGUCUCAGACUCAAAACACUCAAAUCAUCAUUCCCCAUCGAAAUGCAUAGAAAUAUUAUUAAUCCGUUCCAGACACAAUUUUUAAUCAGGAAAAUACCGAUCGAUAACAUUGUACAAUUGUACAUUGUAAUUUCAUCUGUGGCGUGUAGCACCACCACUCCCACUCGCCACUUUGGCGGGUUGUAUUGCAAUCAGGAAAAAUGUACAUCAGCGUCAUCAGCUUGUCGAGGUGCACCUAAUAAAGUAACCGCUGAUUACAAAUUGUUGGUGGGUCUUCAUGCCACGCAUUGAAAUGCACAGUAUCGUUAAAGCUAUUCUUGCACAAGCUUUGUACCGGUCAGCAUCUCCUUAAGGGGACAAAAAAGAAGAGUGCUUGGACUUGAUCCAAGGUCAAGCUCUUUUCAGUGUGUUGGCGUCGAGUGGAAUAAUACGAAGACAAACAGUGACGAUGAAGUGAGCCAGGCAACUUUGACCUCCAGCUGCACUGCUUCCUCUCUGGCCUCCCUGGGUGGGACUCGCCGCUGGCUUCGAAAACUCUCACGUAUCUGCUGUACCCCCCCACCCUACGCUCCCCUCUCCUCUCCAAUCACAUCUUCAAUUAGAGCCUUAAGAGCCAUAUUUUUCCCCUAGCUACACGGUCACUGAGAGUACAGAUGCUGGAGGCCGGCAGGGUUGUGGCCAUUGGGGUCCGGCCACAGGAGAUAUGAAUCUGCUGCCGUCGAGUACGCAAAUCAAAAAUAAACUGGAGAACAAACUGAAUUAGUGCGGAUGGCUAAUGUGAGACGAUUGAUCCUCGAUAAUAACGUUGGUUUGUAAGACAAUCCUGGAACUGUGAGAGUGUGUGCGAGUCCAGCCAAAGCUGCCUUUCAUUUGCCCUUGCAGCUCAGCCUCCCUGAUGGAGUACACUCAAAUCUACAUUCCAAAAGCGGUGCCUUGAGAUACAAGUUUAAUUUGUUCUGUGUCCGUCCUCUUAAUUAAAAAAACUCUAAUCUCAAAUCAUCUUUCCCCAUUGAAAUGAAUGAAAAUGCCAUUAAUCUGUUUCAGCCCCCGAAAGGAAAAAACAAUGUUUUUAAUAAGGAAGAUAGCACUCUAUAAUAUAGUAGUUUGUACCCUGUUUAAGAAACUGUUUUUUUAAACAGUUU